UGAUGAUAAUGGACUGAACCUCUGAACCUACAUUGCACCUGUUCCAGUCCUCCCUGGAAGUUUCUCACCCCAAUCCCCCCUCCCCUUUUCCUUUGAGAGGGUGCUCGCCCAUGCCCCAGGUGCCCUUCCCUGGUGCCUCAAAUCUCUACAUUAGAGACAUCCUCUCCAACUGAGGCCAUGCAAGGCAGUCCUCUUCUACAUAUGUACAAGGGCCUCAAACCAACCUGUAUAUGCUCUUUGUUUGGUGGUUCAGCCUAUGGGAGCUCUGGGUCCGGAUUAGUUCACACUAUUGGUCUUCCUGUGGGGUUGCAUCCUCUUCAGCUACUUCAAUCCUUCCCUUUACUCUUCCAUAGAGAUCUCCACUCCAAUGGUUGGCUAAAUAAUUCCAAUGACUCAUGAAUGGGAUUGCAUGAAAUUUAGAAACUUCUGCACAGCAAAGGAAAGACUCAGCAGAUGAAGACAACCUCUUGUUGUAUGAUAGGCUUUUCUGAAUUGCAACAUUUUCUGCAAGAAGAAUAGAGCAUCUGUUCAUAAGAAGAAACCCAGAUCCUUGAGUGUCCCGACCAACAGAAUCAAAAGCAGUAAAUAGUAGCUUGUAGUGGAGACUCUGAGCAGUUGAAUUACAGAAAUCUUUUCUGACUGGGGUGCAGUCUGCAAGCAGAGUAGAGAACUCCAAGAUUACAAAGUUUAGAGGUUCUCAUCCUUGUUAAAAAGUGUGCUUGCAGGAUAAAACAUAGACAUAUUCCAGAACUCUGAAACAUUGACAGCAUGGGAAGUGUCACUCUCUAUAGUACAAAAUUUGUUUCAUCAUCAUUAAAAAAAAUUCUAUGAUUAGAAGAGACUUGGGAAACAGAAAAUGAUGCUCCACUGCUGGCUUUCUGAAUGAAGAGGAAGUAGCAGAACCCCACCAAAAACUGAAACAUAUUCCUAAAGAUUUUAGAGGGAAACAUUCCACUAGCAUUUCCUUUGCUGCCUCGUUAGAGCUAUUGUGGACUGCUAAUCCUCAAGACUGUAAAAUGCUAACUUUCGAUUAUAUCCAGCCCCUAGAAAUAGAGGUAAUUUGUUGCAGUAGGAGUCAGCAAGGAGUACACAAUGGUAAACCAGAUGCACAAGAACUUGUGUACUUAUUCUAAUUCUGCUGAAAGUUUUUGACAUUCUAAUGACUCUCCACAAACCCUAUAGGUUUUGAAGAAGUAAGUUUCAUUUUCUGUGGUUUAAAAUGUUGUAUCUACUAAGAUGGGUGGAAUACACGCAAAUCCACACACUAACCAUUUAUAGGAAGGUAUAUGAGGAAGAAAAGGAGGGAAGAGCAGCAAACAGAACAAUUAGCAUUUUAAGCAGACAGCACACACUUAUGCAAAAUGCUUUUUAAGAAUGUCUACCUACAUUUAUAUAUUUUCUCCAAAAAUUAUAAUGUCAUGAUGUAUGUUUAAAAAUAAACUGAAAACCAUGAAUAUGCGAAUCCAACAAGUAUGAAAGUUAUAACUUUAAAAAUCCUACAAUCGAGGAUAGAACCAAACAUGACUAGGAAAACAAACAAACAAACAAACAAACAAACAAAAACCAAAAAAACAAGAACAAGCUAAGUCAAUGAAAUGACUCCCAAUGAGAUUCUACUACACCCAUAGAUCACUCAUAUAAUAGUUAUCAGAGAGACUUUAUCCAGCAAGUAACUGGAGCAGAUACAGAAACCAACAGCUAACCAUUGGCAGAAUUCCAGGAACCUCAUGGAACGUGAGGAGGAAGCAUUGUAGGUGCCAGAAGGGUCAAAGAUACCAGAAGAACACAACCCACAGAAUCAACUAAGAAGGGCUCACAGGGGCUGAUAAAGACUAAAGCCUACAUUGGACUGUGUUUUGUCCUCUGCAUAUAUAUUUUGGUUGUGUAGCUUGGUCUCCUUAAGGGACUCCUACCAGUGGUAAUGUUCCUGACUCUUUUGCCUGUUCUUGCAAACUUUUCCUCCUCCUGGAUUGCCACAUGCAGACUUGAUUUCAGGGUUUGUGCAUAGUCUUACUGUAACUUGCUCUACCAUGUUCUGUUGAAAGCCCUGGGAGGCCUUCUCCUUCCUGAAAAGAAACGGAAGAGUAGAUCUGGGGAAAGGGGAGGGGAGGCAAUGGGAAGUUAAAGGAAACAAAAUUGUUGUCAGGUUGUAAUGCAUUAGAGAAAAAAAUCAGUAAAUGAUCGAAAACACUAAUAAUAAAAAUGAAUUUAAGAAUAUGACAUUAUACAAUAAAGCUAAAGCCUUUCAUAGUCACAAUAUUUGAUCAAAUUUAUGACUAGGAAACUUACGUGAAGUCCUGUGUUUAAUGAGAAUGUGGUUGUUGAGGAUGCCUUACUUCCAUCGAAAAGAAUCUCAGUGCAAUGCAGUAACAGGAACAGAAUAUU